UCCAGCCGAAUUCCAGGCUUCCAACAAUCGAGGAACUAAAUUCGAGUUUGCCAUACAAGCUUCCAUUCUUUGAGAACUCCGAGGUCGAUCUGAGGCCACUUCUAAAGAAUCUUUUGCCAGUGUGGGAGGUUGACGAAGAUGAUACUCUCUGGGAUCGUGAUUCUCUACUUGCAGAGAUUCAACUCAAAUUCAAUGAAGAACGCAGGAAACAACGUAGUGAGAACUCGCAUUGAUAAAGGUGUGUUUUAUUUUAUAUUUCUCUCGAGAAACCAU